UGGCGGACGGGUGAGUAACGCGUGGAUAACCUGCCGUAUACAGGGGGAUAACACCUGGAAACAGGUGCUAAUACCGCAUAAGCGCACGGUCCCGCAUGGGACAGUGUGAAAAGCUCCGGCGGUAUACGAUGGAUCCGCGUCUGAUUAGCCAGUUGGCGGGGUAACGCCCACCAAGGCGACGAUCAGUAGCCGGCCUGAGAGGGCGGACGGCCACAUUGGGACUGAGACACGGCCCAGACUCCUACGGGAGGCAGCAG
rnacentral:rRNA from 1 species